rnacentral:rRNA from 1 species
GAAGCGUGGACGCCAGUCUGCGUGGAGCCGGCCUUGAAAUACCACCCUUUAAUGUUUGAUGUUCUAACGUGGACCCGUAAUCCGGGUUGCGGACAGUGUCUGGUGGGUAGUUUGACUGGGGCGGUCUCCUCCUAAAGAGUAACGGAGGAGCACGAAGGUUGGCUAAUCCUGGUCGGACAUCAGGAGGUUAGUGCAAUGGCAUAAGCCAGCUUGACUGCGAGCGUGACGGCGCGAGCAGGUGCGAAAGCAGGUCAUAGUGAUCCGGUGGUUCUGAAUGGAAGGGCCAUCGCUCAACGGAUAAAAGGUACUCCGGGGAUAACAGGCUGAUACCGCCCAAGAGUUCAUAUCGACGGCGGUGUUUGGCACCUCGAUGUCGGCUCAUCACAUCCUGGGGCUGAAGUAGGUCCCAAGGGUAUGGCUGUUCGCCAUUUAAAGUGGUACGCGAGCUGGGUUUAGAACGUCGUGAGACAGUUCGGUCC